UGUCCCAUGGGGACUGAUCCUUGAUGAACUCCACUCUCGAGACCCAGAAGAAAAUCUGAAAGUGUCUGUACUGAGAAAAGGCACCAUCUGAGCUGAGCAAGAGAAACACCACUUCGAGCAAACAUCCUCAGUGUAUGAGAAAAGAGAGAGUGAGCAGAAUGAGUGGAUGCAAAUCAAACACCGGCAUGAGAAAGAGAAAGCAAGAUGUACCACGAGGAAGAUGGAGAGAAAACAAAUGCAAGGAGACUGGAGACAACGGCAGGAGAGUGUACAUCUGACAUCAGAAACCAAGGUGAGCCGGACCUUGGAAAGGGGAAGAAGAGAAAGAAAGAAAA
rnacentral:lncRNA from 1 species